rnacentral:rRNA from 1 species
UACGUAGGCGGCAAGCGUUGUCCGGAAUCAUUGGGCGUAAAGGGGGCGCAGGCGGGAAUAUAAGUCUUUCCUGAAAGUUCGGGGCUCAGCCCCGUGAUGGGAAGGAAACUGUAUUUCUUGAGCGCGGGAGAGGGAAGCGGAAUUCCUGGUGUAGCGGUGAAAUGCGUAGAUAUCAGGAAGAACACCAGUGGCGAAGGCGGCUUCCUGGACCGCGGCUGACGCUGAGGCCCGAAAGCCAGGGGAGCGAACG